CGGAGGAAAAGAAACUAACUAGGAUUCCCUUAGUAACGGCGAGUGAACCGGGAUGAGCUCAAAUUUAAAAUCUGGCGUCUUUCAGGCGUCCGAGUUGUAAUCUAUAGAGGCGUUUUCCGCGCCGGACCGCGUCCAAGUCCCUUGGAAUAGGGUAUCAAAGAGGGUGACAAUCCCGUACUUGACGCGACAACCGGUGCUCUGUGAUACGUUCUCAACGAGUCGAGUUGUUUGGGAAUGCAGCUCUAAAUGGGUGGUAAAUUCCAUCUAAGGCUAAAUAUUGGCGAGAGACCGAUAGCGAACAAGUACCGUGAGGGAAAGAUGAAAAGCACUUUGGAAAGAGAGUUAAACAGCACGUGAAAUUGUUAAAAGGGAAACGAUUGAAGUCAGUCGUGUGGGAGGUAUUCAGCCGUCUCUGGCGGUGUAUUUGCCUCUCACGGGUCAACAUCAGUUUGAUCCGGUGGAAAAAGGCGGGAGGAAGGUGGCACCUUCGGGUGUGUUAUAGCCUCCUGUCAAAUGCAUCGGACCAGACUGAGGAACGCAGCUCGCAGCAAUGCCGGGGUUCGCCCACGUACGAGCUUAGGAUGUUGACAUAAUGGCUUUAAACGACCCGUCUU
rnacentral:rRNA from 1 species